rnacentral:pre_miRNA from 1 species
CCUACAUAUUCAGUGAGUACAGUAUAUAUUCAGUGGCAUAGAUAAACUAGUGCUUUUAGCUAUGUCACUGAAUAUAUACUGUACUCACUGAAUAUGUA